rnacentral:rRNA from 1 species
AACAACUCACCUGCCGAAUGAAUUAGCCCUGAAAAUGGAUGACGCUAAAGCGGGCAGCCGACACCAUGUCGUCUGAUCAAAGUGGUCUCAGAUGAGUAGGAGGGCGUGGCGGUCGACAGGAAGCGUCGGUGCGAACCGUCGUGAAUCGGCCGCUAGUGCAGAUCUUGGUGGUAGUAGCAAAUAUUCAAGUGUGAUCCUUGAAGGACGAAGCGGGGAAGGGUUCCACGCGAACAUUGAUUGAGCGUGGGUGAGUCGUUCCUAAGCCGAGUGGUCAUAGCUAAUUACCGGCGAAAGGGAAGCAGGUUGACAUUCCUGCACGCGGAUGUGGAGGCGGUGACGCCGUAUUGAGGUGAUGAAGUUGGCGGUAGCUCUGGGCAGAGUUUUCUUUUCUGUUUAACCGUCUUUGCGCGCUGUGUGGAAUCCGCUUGUCGGGAGAAACACGCGUGCUUGGGCAUAGCGCCGGGUCUUUUCCGGCGUCCAGUUCGCUACCGACAGCCCUUGAAAAAUUACCUACUGACAAUAUCCACGCCGCGACGUACCGAUAUCCGCAUCAGGUCCCCAAGGUGAACAGCCUCUGUGCAAUAUGGGUAAU